rnacentral:rRNA from 1 species
UACAGAGGGGGCAAGCGUUGUUCGGAAUUACUGGGCGUAAAGCGCACGUAGGCGGAUUGCUAAGUCAGGGGUGAAAUCCUGGAGCUCAACUCCAGAACUGCCUUUGAUACUGGGUAUCUCGAGUAUGGAAGAGGUGAGUGGAAUUCCGAGUGUAGAGGUGAAAUUCGUAGAUAUUCGGAGGAACACCAGUGGCGAAGGCGGCUCACUGGUCCAUUACUGACGCUGAGGUGCGAAAGCGUGGGGAGCAAACAGG